GACGAACGCUGGCGGCGUGCUUAACACAUGCAAGUCGAACGGAAAGGCCCUGCUUUUGUGGGGUGCUCGAGUGGCGAACGGGUGAGUAACACGUGAGUAACCUGCCCUUGACUUUGGGAUAACUUCAGGAAACUGGGGCUAAUACCGGAUAGGAGCUCCUGCUGCAUGGUGGGGGUUGGAAAGUUUCGGCGGUUGGGGAUGGACUCGCGGCUUAUCAGCUUGUUGGUGGGGUAGUGGCUUACCAAGGCUUUGACGGGUAGCCGGCCUGAGAGGGUGACCGGCGACAAGAGGCCUGCGGGACGGCGCAGUCUCCAACGUGAGGCAACAGUGGGGAGUAUUGCACAGUGAGCGGGAGCCUGAGGCGGCGACGCCGCGUGCGGAAUGACGGCUUGCGGGUUAUGAACCGCUUUCGCCUGUGACGAAGCGUGAGUGACGGUACUGGGUAAAGAAGCACCGGCUAACUACGUG
rnacentral:rRNA from 1 species